GCGAAGGGGGGAGGAACACGUGAGGCUUCUGCCUUCUACACUGGGAUAACUCCGGGAAACCGGGGCUAAUACCGGAUAUGAAACUUGGUGGCAUCACCGAGUUUGGAAAGUUUUUCGGUAGAAGAUGACCUCGCGGCCUAUCAGCUUGUUGGUGAGGUAAUGGCUCACCAAGGCGACGACGGGUAGCCGGCCUGAGAGGGCGACCGGCCACACUGGGACUGAGACACGGCCCAGACUCCUACGGGAGGCAGCAGUGGGGAAUAUUGGGCAAUGGAGGAAACUCUGACCCAGCGACGCCGCGUGCGGGAUGAAGGCCUUCGGGUUGUAAACCGCUUUCAGUAGGGAAGAAGCGAAAGUGACGGUACCUACAGAAGAAGCACCGGCUAACUAUGUGCCAGCAGCCGCGGUAAUACAUAGGGUGCAAGCGUUGUCCGGAAUUAUUGGGCGUAAAGAGCUCGUAGGUGGUUCGUUACGUCGGAUGUGAAAAUCUGGGGCUCAACCCCAGACCUGCAUCCGAUACGGUCGAGCUAGAGUUUGGUAGGGGAGACUGGAAUUCCUGGUGUAGCGGUGGAAUGCGCAGAUAUCAGGAGGAACACCAAUGGCGAAGGCAGGUCUCUGGGCCAAUACUGACACUGAGGAGCGAAAGCGUGGGGAGCGAACAGGAUUAGGUACCCUGGUAGUCCACGCCGUAAACGGUGGGCGCUAGUUGUGGGAACCUUCCACGGUUUCUGCGACGCAGCUAACGCAUUAAGCGCCCCGCCUGGGGAGUACGAUCGCAAGAUUAAAACUCAAAGGAAUUGACGGGGCCCCGCACAAGCAGCGGAGCACGCGGC
rnacentral:rRNA from 1 species